UACGUAGGGUGCAAGCGUUGUCCGGAAUUAUUGGGCGUAAAGAGCUCGUAGGCGGUCUGUUGCGUCGGCUGUGAAAACCCGGGGCUCAACUCCGGGCCUGCAGCCGAUACGGGCAGACUAGAGUUCGGCAGGGGAGACUGGAAUUCCUGGUGUAGCGGUGAAAUGCGCAGAUAUCAGGAGGAACACCGGUGGCGAAAGGCGGGGUCUCUGGGGCCGAUACUGACGCUGAGGAGCGAAAGCGUGGGGGAGCGAACAGG
rnacentral:rRNA from 1 species